GAAGGACGCUGGAGUUCGCAGUACUACAGAUUCUGCAGUGAAGACACCACCAAAAAGCCAGAAACAGAUAGCUCGUCCUGGGGUUAUGUGAUCCUAGCGUUCAUCAUCCUGGUGAUCAUCGUUCUGUGUAUCAUCCUCUACUUUCUCAGAAGAGUCUCCAGGACAUACUCAUUUGACCUCCAGCGUCAGGAUCCCAUCAUCAAUCAAUUCAAUGAACCCACAGGCACCUUCGAACCAGUCUACCUGGAUGAUCUAGAUCGACCAGCCCCCUAAAGAUCUAGUGACCACCAAUGACCCUUCACCUCCACCAGCAGCAAAUGGCACAAGUGUACAGUUGGAGGAAAAGGGCUCGAAUGGAGAGAACGCUCCACAGGAACAGCCAGAUGCAAACGGUCUGGAGACGUCGCCCUCCAGUGACACCAGCCCCACGUUGGACGAUGACACAGCUGACAAGACAUCCAACCCACCGGGCAGUAUAGACCUGAUGUUCGAUGGCUUUAGGGAGCCGCCACAGAACGAAAACAACAACAACCCAUCGGUUUGCUCCAGUGACCCAUUUGUUGAAAUAAACCUGGACGAGCCGCCAUGGUGCGAUCAGCUCCUCAGCUCUCCUGAAGCCAC